rnacentral:rRNA from 1 species
UACGUAGGGCGCAAGCGUUAUCCGGAAUUAUUGGGCGUAAAGAGCUCGUAGGCGGUUUGUCGCGUCUGCCGUGAAAGUCCGGGGCUCAACUCCGGAUCUGCGGUGGGUACGGGCAGACUAGAGUGAUGUAGGGGAGACUGGAAUUCCUGGUGUAGCGGUGAAAUGCGCAGAUAUCAGGAGGAACACCGAUGGCGAAGGCAGGUCUCUGGGCCAUUACUGACGCUGAGGAGCGAAAGCGUGGGGAGCGAACAGG